UACGGGGGGAGCAAGCGUUGUUCGGAUUUACUGGGCGUAAAGGGCGCGUAGGCGGCCACUGCAAGUCAGUUGUGAAAUCUCCGGGCUUAACCCGGAAAGGUCAACUGAUACUGCAGGGCUAGAGUGCAGAAGGGGCAACUGGAAUUCUCGGUGUAGCGGUGAAAUGCGUAGAUAUCGAGAGGAACACCUGCGGCGAAGGCGGGUUGCUGGGCUGACACUGACGCUGAUGUGCGAAAGCCAGGGGAGCAAACAGG
rnacentral:rRNA from 1 species